rnacentral:rRNA from 1 species
AUGAACGCUGGCGGCGUGCCUAAUACAUGCCAGUCGCGCGAACAGACGAGGAGCUUGCUCCUCUGACGUUAGCGGCGGACGGGUGAGUAACACGUGGAUAACCUACCUAUAAGACUGGGAUAACUUCGGGAAACCGGAGCUAAUACCGGAUAAUAUAUUGAACCGCAUGGUUCAAUAGUGAAAGACGGUUUUGCUGUCACUUAUAGAUGGAUCCGCGCCGCAUUAGCUAGUUGGUAAGGUAACGGCUUACCAAGGCAACGAUGCGUAGCCGACCUGAGAGGGUGAUCGGCCACACUGGAACUGGGACACGGUCCAGACUCCUACGGGAGGCAGCAGUAAGGAAUCUUCCGCAAUGGGCGAAAGCCUGACGGAGCAACGCCGCGUGAGUGAUGAAGGUCUUCGGAUCGUAAAACUCUGUUAUUAGGGAAGAACAAAUGUGUAAGUAACUAUGCACGUCUUGACGGUACCUAAUCAGAAAGCCACGGCUAACUACGUG